rnacentral:rRNA from 1 species
UACGUAGGGUGCAAGCGUUGUCCGGAAUUAUUGGGCGUAAAGAGCUCGUAGGCGGUUUGUCGCGUCUGCUGUGAAAACUCGGGGCUUAACUCCGGGCCUGCAGUGGGUACGGGCAGACUAGAGUGCGGUAGGGGAGACUGGAAUUCCUGGUGUAGCGGUGAAAUGCGCAGAUAUCAGGAGGAACACCGGUGGCGAAGGCGGGUCUCUGGGCCGAUAUUGACGCUGAGGAGCGAAAGCGUGGGGAGCAAACAGG